rnacentral:rRNA from 1 species
UUCCGGUUGAUCCUGCCAGAGGUUACUGCUAUCGAGGUUCGACUAAGCCAUGCGAGUCGAAUGUAGCAAUACAUGGCGUACUGCUCAGUAACACGUGGAUAACCUGCCCUUAGGACGGGGAUAAACCCGGGAAACUGGGUAUAAUACCCGAUAGAUCUCGAUUGCUGGAAUGCAUCGAGAUCUAAAGCUCCGGCGCCUAAGGAUGGAUCUGCGGCCUAUCAGGUAGUAGUGGGUGUAGCGUACCUACUAGCCUACGACGGGUACGGGUUGUGAGAGCAAGAGCCCGGAGAUGGAUUCUGAGACACGAAUCCAGGCCCUACGGGGUGCAGCAGGCGCGAAAACUUUACAAUGCUGGCAACAGCGAUAAGGGGACCUCGAGUGCCAGGUUACAAAUCUGGCUGUCGUGAUGCCUAAAAAGCAUUGCAUAGCAAGGGCCGGGCAAGACCGGUGCCAGCCGCCGCGGUAACACCGGCGGCUCGAGUGGUAACCGUUAUUAUUGGGUCUAAAGGGUCUGUAGCCGGCCGGAUAAGUCUCUUGGGAAAUCUGGCAGCUUAACUGUCAGGCUUUCAGGAGAUACUGUCUGGCUCGAGGCCGGGAGAGGUGAGAGGUACUUCAGGGGUAGGGGUGAAAUCUUGUAAUCCUUGAAGGACCACCAGUGGCGAAGGCGUCUCACCAGAACGGACCUGACGGCAAGGGACGAAAGCUAGGGGCACGAACCGGAUUAGAUACCCGGGUAGUCCUAGCCGUAAACGAUACUCGCUAGGUGUCGGCCACGGUGCGACCGUUGUCGGUGCCGUAGGGAAGCCGUGGAGCGAGCCACCUGGGAAGUACGGCCGCAAGGCUGAAACUUAAAGGAAUUGGCGGG